rnacentral:rRNA from 1 species
CCUACGGUGGGCAGCCGUGAGGAAUAUUGGUCAAUGGGCGGAAGCCUGAACCAGCCAAGUAGCGUGAAGGAUGACUGCCCUAUGGGUUGUAAACUUCUUUUAUAUGGGAAUAAAAUGUUCCACGUGUGGGAUUUUGUAUGUACCAAAUGAAUAAGGAUCGGCUAACUCCGUGCCCGCAGCCGCGGUAAAACGGAGGAUCCGAGCGUUAUCCGGAUUUAUUGGGUUUCAAGGGAGCGUAGGUGGAUUGUUAAGUCAGUUGUGAAAGUUUGCGGCUAAACCGUAAAAUUGCAGUUGAAACUGGCAGUCGUGAGUACAGUAGAGGUGGGCGGAAUUCGUGGUGUAGCGGGGAAAUGCUUAGAUAUCACGAAGAACUCCGAUUGCGAAGGCAGCUCACUGGACUGCAACUGACACUGAGGCUCGAAAGUGUGGGUAUCAAACAGGAUUAGAUACCCCUGUAGUC